ACAAAGGCUCUUUUAGGAGCCAUCCACAAAACCUUCAAGAGCUUG
rfam:Oryzias latipes DNA, chromosome8, strain: Hd-rR.